CCUCUCCCGACCUGUCACUUCCCCCCGGCCAGCCCAGACUUGAAGUCUCCGCCCCAAGGCCCUCCCUAGGCGGCUGUCGACCUUCCUCUAACCCGCGCCCAGAAAGGCUGCACGGAAACUGCUGUGUCAGAACGGUUCGAGGAGCCCGGAGUCAGAGCCAGCUUUAAUUCGGGAGGAAUGACUACCUAGGGCCGGCCCGCUCAGACUCAGCAGGGAAGACUGUGUCGCAGCUGUUGGGAGGGUGCGUCCUCAACCCCACCCGGCCGCCCCGCCCGCGGCCCCGCGAGCCCUCCACCCCGCCAGCCAGCUGGCCGCCCGCUCCCGGAGGCCGCGUCUAGGCGGUGUUGGGCGCGGGGUCCAGAGCGCACGCGCGGAAAGUCGCGAGCAGGCGCCUCCCCGCCCCCGCCCCGCCCCCUCUCACGUGCCGCGCAGCGUGCGCCCGGGCAUGUGCGGACACACGUGACAGCGCUGCGUCCGGCUCCUGCUCCUUUACCCCGCACGGCUGUACUUUGAACCCCGGCGUGGGAGGGGGAAGGGGGGGUGGGGAAGGAAAGCCGGCCGGGAGGGGACCGGAGGGGGAGGCCGGCCUCCGGGAGAAUGAUAUCAUCGUCAGAUUUAUCGCUAGGCAACCUAAGAAUGCUUCUCUCUUUCCAAUCCUAGGGCUCCUUGAAGAUCUCAAGGCUGAUGAUAUUAUUCCCCCCUCCCCUCCCCGCUUUAAUUCUCCACCAAGAAGCGCUCGUAGGGAGAUUUAAGGAGCUAGAGUUGGCUUACCAGUGUUUAAAUGAGUGCGUUUCAAACAGACCUCAGAAAUGGCUCCUUCAUCGCGCCCACAUUGCUCUCCAGGGAUGCAGGCGUAUAGUCCGGUUUCUUCACCUGUUGGGUCACGUGCGGAUCACCCAGCUGCGUUAUAGCUCCGCAGAUGAGUUUCGUUCAACAUAAUACAUACUCGAAAACCGAGCCCUGCUUAAGGGUUUAUUCAGUUUUCAGAGACAGAGCGUGAGCGGGGGAGGGGCAGAGAGAGAGGGAGACACAGAAUCUGAAACAGGCUCCAGCCUGGGAGCUGUCAGCACAGAGCCGGUCGUGGGCCGAACUCAGGACUGCGAGAUCAUGACCUGAGCUGAAGUCUCAGGCUUAACCGACUGAGCCACCCAGGCGCCCCAUGGAAACUAAUUUUCUAAACGCAAUACUGAACCUGUAAGGCUGCAUGUGGAAUCAAAGUUUACUACACGAAUGUGUGGUGGAUACUGAAUACGUCGUUGUGAAACAUUUGAUAUUCUAGGUAUACACAUGUGCAUAGCAAUAUGUAAAAGGCUUCAAAUUGAAACUGUAGCUAAAGUUUACAACAUCCUAAAAAUACCCCAUGUAAAAACUGUAGCAAAUCGCCCUCUUUCCUACUUCCUCAAAUCUAAAUGUUCCUUUUGUCCAGAUUCGUAGUUUGCUUUGAUCCCUUCUUCCAUGGAGAAUCUUUAGAGUUCAACCAGACCACGUAGGUAGGAGGCGUAGAGGCAAAGGUGGAGCGCUCACCAGAUCAUGUGGGGACUUCCAAACAAAGGAGGGCACAUUUCUGGAUGUCUCCAAAUUUAGUAGACAGAAAAACUGUAUGGUUCUUUGUAGAGGACCUUGACUAUUGUGUCUCCAGAAUUUAUCUUCAAUUAUUGCAUGCUCUAUUCCAUGUUUUGGGAAGGGGUUGUCUGGCCAUCUUUCCUUCUCCACCACCAACUAUAUAUUCUUGCCUGUUAGGACCUCACGUGGACUAGCUCCACUCAUGUCAUGAGCAAAAGUCAGGCUUUCCCCUCCUCAUUACUAUUGCUAUGGGGUAAUAGCUUAAAGAGCAGUGGACUCAGAACCAAAAAAUCUGGUUCCAGUCCUCAUUCUGCUACUUACUGAGCUACAUGACCUUGGACUAGUUGUUUGCCUCAGCUUCCUCCUGGAUGUUUUGAAAAAUAGACCUAAGGAAUCCUUGUUUCCCUUUAGGACUCCUCUCUAUUUCUCUCAUUUCCCCCUCUCCGGUGCUGAGUGGAGAACAUGGAUCAUCACGCCCUUACGUGAAGGGAAAGAAGUCACCCUUAGUUUCUUCUGUAAGAAAGAUCAAAGGUUGAGGUGAGACAGAGGCUGCUUGUGAGGUACUAGGUUUUUACCCCUCUGCUGCAUUAGAGAUUAUCAUGCAAUGAAUGUUCUCUUUUGCAGUAGGAAAUGUUAUGACCACUCAGUCCCAGCUCAUGGUUCAGGUCCUCAAGAGGAGAUGAUGGUGAGAGAGUACAGCAGUCAGGUUCUAAAGAGACUAAGAAAUUAGGAAAUCCUUGCUCAGACCUUAGUCAAAUAUAGCCAAUUAAACUCCUGGUACUCAGCACAGGACCAGAGUAUAUCAGAACCUUCUUGGAGAGAGCCCCAUGGACUCAUUCACCUGCUCGUUCUGUGAAAACCAGCUACUACUACUCUAGGCUGUCUCAGACUUACUCAGAUGAAGGUAGCAACCAUCACCCCCUAGUAUUCACCUCUUUAUAGCACCUACUAUGUUGCAUUAAGUUCUUUUAGUGUUGGUUUGUCACUCCCACUAGACAUUGAGAUCUUCAGAGAUUAUUAAUCUUUGAUUCUCCUGCACUGUCACAGCACCUUACAUAUAGUAGGGUCAAACCAGAUGCCUGUAUCCCCAGGCCCACCGUUUGUUCAAUCUAUAGGCUCACUGAGAUAAGGAGUGUGUUGCAAUCAGUAGGAAGUCUGAAACCUCUUACCAGAAGCUCUCCAAUGGGUGUGUCUAAGUUCAGAGGCAGCAUCUGGGCCCACACACCUCCCUGCCAGUUCCCCAGAAUGUUUUUGCUGGAUGUGCCACUCAAGAUUUCUAAAACCCGGAGGUGGGGGUGAUUACACAGCAGAAGCAGGGCCAGGGUCAUCCAUGAAUCAAAAUGCUGAAUCAGUUUUUACUAAUGACCCUUGGUGCUCUACUCCUAUCAGUCUGAGAGAAAAAUGUUCAUCAGAUAAAAUAAUUUGUUUCUGGCAUGAAAAUGUCAUUAUUUUGUGGUUAGCUGUGGAAUAAAGCCAUUAGCAAGCUGCUUUUUUACUUAAUAAGAUGAUCAAAAAAUAUAUAAAAUAUCUGAGGGCUUUUGCAUAAGUGUUCUGAUAGGAACAUUGCCAAGAAUGUGAAAAGUAAAAGAAAUGAAGAAAAAAGCGUCAGGGGAGAAACAUGUUACUGAUUCUAUAAGCUCACACAGUUUAGAAAAGUGGCCCUAGGUACUUCUGUUAGAGCCUAUUAUUCUAAUUUUAGGCACAUUUCAAAUGGGUGUGGUUUUUGUCGAAUGGUUUCCCAGGUCUCAGUAAGUCAGAGAUAGCAAAUUAGAUAAGAGUUAGAGGCAAGGACUCUGACACAUCAAGAAGUGACAGCUGGCAGCCUGAUCGUGAGUAAAGAGAUUGACAAACCUAUAAAAAGCAGAUAUAAGAACUCAGAAAGUAUUUAGUGCAGAUGCUAAUACUCCCAGAUGACAUGCAUAGUGCAAAAGUGGUAUUUAUAAGGUUGACCCUGAAUUAUGGAGAAUGGAUAACUAUGGAUAGGGUAUUUAUUUCUAAGACGUGUAUAAGACAGUAUAGAGGACCUGUGUAAUAUCUUUUAGGAAGCUUUUCACUAAAAUGUUAAGGAAAAAAAGAAAAGAUAAACGAAUAAACUUAAACAUAGAACCUUCA